rnacentral:rRNA from 1 species
UACGUAGGGGGCAAGCGUUGUCCGGAAUCAUUGGGCGUAAAGAGCGUGUAGGCGGCCCGAUAAGUCCGCUGUGAAAGUCCAGGGCUCAACCCUGGGAUGCCGGUGGAUACUGUCGGGCUCGAGUCCGGAAGAGGAGUGUGGAAUUCCUGGUGUAGCGGUGAAAUGCGCAGAUAUCAGGAGGAACACCAAUGGCGAAGGCAGCACUCUGGGACGUGACUGACGCUGAGACGCGAAGCCAGUG